GAUGAACGCUGGCGGCGUGCCUAAUACAUGCAAGUCGAGCGAACAGACGAGGAGCUUGCUCCUCUGACGUUAGCGGCGGACGGGUGAGUAACACGUGGAUAACCUACCUAUAAGACUGGGAUAACUUCGGGAAACCGGAGCUAAUACCGGAUAAUAUAUUGAACCGCAUGGUUCAAUAGUCAAAGACGGUUUUGCUGUCACUUAUAGAUGGAUCCGCGCCGCAUUAGCUAGUUGGUAAGGUAACGGCUUACCAAGGCAACGAUGCGUAGCCGACCUGAGAGGGUGAUCGGCCACACUGGAACUGAGACACGGUCCAGACUCCUACGGGAGGCAGCAGUAGGGAAUCUUCCGCAAUGGGCGAAAGCCUGACGGAGCAACGCCGCGUGAGUGAUGAAGGUCUUCGGAUCGUAAAACUCUGUUAUUAGGGAAGAACAAAUGUGUAAGUAUCUAUGCACGUCUUGACGGUACCUAAUCAGAAAGCCACGGCUAACUACGUG
rnacentral:rRNA from 1 species